rnacentral:sRNA from 1 species
UUGACAGACCUGGGGACUGAGGUCUUCUCUUCAUCUAUAGCACAGGUACAGCAGGGGCAGAGGCAAGAGGAACUCCCUGCAUUCCGACAGCUCACCUGGAGGGUCUACAUCUAGAGAUCAGAAAGCAGUUUAGACUCCAUGCUUAUUCAGUUUUUGCUGAGU